rnacentral:rRNA from 16 species
CCUAGUGGUGAUAGCGGAGGGGAAACACCCGUUCCCAUCCCGAACACGGAAGUUAAGCCCUCCAGCGCCGAUGGUAGUUGGGGCCAGCGCCCCUGCAAGAGUAGGUCGCUGCUAGGC